rnacentral:rRNA from 1 species
GUCCUAAGCUGAGGCCGACAGGCGUAGGCGAUGGAUAACAGGUUGAUAUUCCUGUACCACCUAGCAUCGUUUUAAUCGAUGGGGGGACGCAGUAGGAUAGGCGAAGCGUACGAUUGGAUUGUACGUCUAAGCAGUGAGAUUGAGUGUUAGGCAAAUCCGGCACUCUUAAGAUUGAGCUGUGAUGGGGAGAGGAAAUUGUUUCCUCGAGUCGUUGAUUUCACACUGCCGAGAAAAGCCUCUAGAUAGAUAAUAGGUGCCCGUACCGCAAACCGACACAGGUAGUCAAGAUGAGAAUUCUAAGGUGAGCGAGCGAACUCUCGUUAAGGAACUCGGCAAAAUGACCCCGUAACUUCGGGAGAAGGGGUGCUCUUUAGGGUGCAAGCCCAGAAGAGCCGCAGUGAAUAGGCCCAAGCGACUGUUUAUCAAAAACACAGGUCUCUGCUAAACCGUAAGGUGAUGUAUAGGGGCUGACGCCUGCCCGGUGCUGGAAGGUUAAGAGGAGUGGUUAGCUUCUGCGAAGCUACGAAUCGAAGCCCCAGUAAACGGCGGCCGUAACUAUAACGGUCCUAAGGUAGCGAAAUUCCUUGUCGGGUAAGUUCCGACCCGCACGAAAGGCGUAACGAUUUGGGCA